rnacentral:rRNA from 1 species
AGUCGAGGGGCAUCAGUUUGGUUUGCUUGCAAACCAAAGCUGGCGACCGGCGCACGGGUGAGUAACACGUAUCCAACCUGCCUCAUACUCGGGGAUAGCCUUUCGAAAGAAAGAUUAAUAUCCGAUAGCAUAUAUUUCCCGCAUGGGUUUUAUAUUAAAGAAAUUCGGUAUGAGAUGGGGAUGCGUUCCAUUAGUUUGUUGGGGGGGUAACGGCCCACCAAGACUACGAUGGAUAGGGGUUCUGAGAGGAAGGUCCCCCACAUUGGAACUGAGACACGGUCCAAACUCCUACGGGAGGUAGCAGUGAGGAAUAUUGGUCAAUGGACGCGAGUCUGAACCAGCCAAGUAGCGUGAAGGAUGACUGCCCUAUGGGUUGUAAACUUCUUUUAUAUGGGAAUAAAGUUGUCCACGUGUGGAUUUUUGUAUGUACCAUAUGAAUAAGGAUCGGCUAACUCCGUGCCAGCAGCCGCGGUAAUACGGAGGAUCCGAGCGUUAUCCGGAUUUAUUGGGUUUAAAGGGAGCGUAGGCGGAUUGUUAAGUCAGUUGUGAAAGUUUGCGGCUCAACCGUAAAAUUGCAGUUGAUACUGGCAGUCUUGAGUGCAGUAGAGGUGGGCGGAAUUCGUGGUGUAGCGGUGAAAUGCUUAGAUAUCACGAAGAACUCCGAUUGCGAAGGCAGCUCACUGGAGUGUAGCUGACGCUGAUGCUCGAAAGUGUGGGUAUCAAACAGGAUUAGAUACCCUGGUAGUCCACACAGUAAACGAUGAAUACUCGCUGUUUGCGAUAUACAGUAAGCGGCCAAGCGAAAGCAUUAAGUAUUCCACCUGGGGAGUACGC